rnacentral:rRNA from 1 species
GAGUUUGAUCAUGGCUCAGAUUGAACGCUGGCGGCAGGCUUAACACAUGCAAGUCGAACGAUGAUUACUAGCUUGCUAGUAUGAUUAGUGGCGAACGGGUGAGUAAUGCUUAGGAAUCUGCCUAUUAGUGGGGGACAACAUUCCGAAAGGAAUGCUAAUACCGCAUACGUCCUACGGGAGAAAGCAGGGGAUCGCAAGACCUUGCGCUAAUAGAUGAGCCUAAGUCGGAUUAGCUAGUUGGUGGGGUAAAGGCCUACCAAGGCGACGAUCUGUAGCUGGUCUGAGAGGAUGAUCAGCCACACUGGGACUGAGACACGGCCCAGACUCCUACGGGAGGCAGCAGUGGGGAAUAUUGGACAAUGGGCGAAAGCCUGAUCCAGCCAUGCCGCGUGUGUGAAGAAGGCCUUUUGGUUGUAAAGCACUUUAAGUGGGGAGGAAAAGCUAAUAAUUAAUACCUAUAGCCCUGACGUACCCCAG